GCACCGCUAGCUCAAUUGGUAGAGCAGUUGACUCUUAAUCAAUUGGUUCGGGGUUCGAGUCCCUGGCGGUGUA
rnacentral:tRNA from 1 species